rnacentral:rRNA from 1 species
GAGUUUGAUCAUGGCUCAGGAUGAACGCCGGCGGUGUGCCUAAUACAUGCAAGUCGUACGCACUGGCCCAACUGAUUGAUGGUGCUUGCACCUGAUUGACGAUGGAUCACCAGUGAGUGGCGGACGGGUGAGUAACACGUAGGUAACCUGCCCCGGAGCGGGGGAUAACAUUUGGAAACAGAUGCUAAUACCGCAUAACAACAAAGGCCACAUGGCUUUUGUUUGAAAGAUGGCUUUGGCCAUCACUCUGGGAUGGACCUGCGGUGCAUUAGCUAGUUGGUAAGGUAACGGCUUACCAAGGCGAUGAUGCAUAGCCGAGUUGAGAGACUGAUCGGCCACAAUGGAACUGAGACACGGUCCAUACUCCUACGGGAGGCAGCAGUAGGGAAUCUUCCACAAUGGGCGCAAGCCUGAUGGAGCAACACCGCGUGAGUGAAGAAGGGUUUCGGCUCGUAAAGCUCUGUUGUUGGAGAAGAACGUGCGUGAGAGUAAC